GACGAGCCGUGCGAGCGUUAUUCGGAAUCACUGGGCUUAAAGCGCGUGUAGGCGGAUGGGUACGUCGGUAGUUGAAAGCCCCCGGCUCAACCGGGGAAGUGGUGCCGAAACGACCCGUCUGGAGGGACGUAGGGGGACCUGGAACUUCCGGUGGAGCGGUGAAAUGCGUUGAGAUCGGAAGGAACGCCCGUGGCGAAGUCGAGGUCCUGGACGUCUACUGACGCUGAGACGCGAAAUCUAGGGGAGCAAACAGG
rnacentral:rRNA from 1 species